rnacentral:rRNA from 1 species
AGAGAGAGACAUGCGUGCAUAUCAAUAAGCGGAGGAAAAGAAACUAACAAGGAUUCCCUUAGUAACGGCGAGUGAAGCGGGAAGAGCUCAAAUUUGAAAUCUUCAAGGUUUUACCUUGACGAAUUGUAGUUUAAAGAAGUGCUUUCUGCUGAAGUUUUGGUAAAAGUUCUUUGGAAUAGGACAUCAUAGAGGGUGAGAAUCCCGUAUUUGACCAUUAUUUCAGCUUUGUGAUACACUUUCAAAGAGUCGGAUUGUUUGGGAAUGCAGUCCAAAAUGGGUGGUAAAUUUCAUCUAAAGCUAAAUAUUGGCGAGAGACCGAUAGCGAACAAGUACCGUGAGGGAAAGAUGAAAAGAACUUUGAAAAGAGAGUUAAACAGUACGUGAAAUUGUCAAAAGGGAAGCGUUUGACACCAGUGUUGUUUUCUCGAAAAUCAAUUAAAAAUGGCUCGAUUUUGUAUUGCUUGAGACCUUAAAAGCUCACUGUACAUUUUUCGUGUCUUUUUUAAUGCACUUUUCGUUUAACAAGUCAACAUCAGUUUCUUUUGUUGUUAAAGGGUCAUUGGAAGGUGGCUUUCUUUUCGGAGAAAGUGUUUAUAGCCUUUGGCCUCUGCAAUCGGAGAGACUGAGGUCUGCAGCGUAGACUCUUCGGGGUUAGAUACAUUUGUGCUAAGUUAUAGCUUUUUAUAGACAACUUGUUGACUAUAAUUAGUCUUGUAGCUUACUCGCUUAUGCUAUUUUACCUACGCUUAGGAUGUUGAAGAUGUAGCACAUCAU